rnacentral:tRNA from 1 species
CCAAUCAUUCCCGUAAAGGAUUUUAUCUUUAUUUGACUUUCUUUCACAUUACUUUAUUAGGACUGGAAUAAAA